GCCGCUGCCGCUUAAGGUGGCUGCCGGGUUGCCGUUGAACCAGUUCAGAGACCGCCGCUGUUCCGGUUCAGCUGUUCCUUCUUCAUUCGUGUUGCUGUGGUUACCGCGGGAGUGGCUUGGAGCCGAGGUUGCGGUUGUUGGUGAUUUCAGUUUAAGAGAGGAGGUUCCUGUGACGCAUUUGGGUUAUGAUUUUGGCGUUUUGAGGUAGGGGCGCUUUCCAACAACUGUGUUUUAUGUAUUGGAAUUAUUACAUAUGGAUAC